UUAAGCGACUAAGCGUACACGGUGGAUGCCCUGGCAGUCAGAGGCGAUGAAGGACGUGCUAAUCUGCGAUAAGCGUCGGUAAGGUGAUAUGAACCGUUAUAACCGGCGAUUUCCGAAUGGGGAAACCCAGUGUGAUUCGUCACACUAUCAUUAACUGAAUCCAUAGGUUAAUGAGGCGAACCGGGGGAACUGAAACAUCUAAGUACCCCGAGGAAAAGAAAUCAACCGAGAUUCCCCCAGUAGCGGCGAGCGAACGGGGAGGAGCCCAGAGCCUGAAUCAGUGUGUGUGUUAGUGGAAGCGUCUGGAAAGGCGUGCGAUACAGGGUGACAGCCCCGUACACAAAAAUGCACAUACUGUGAGCUCGAUGAGUAGGGCGGGACACGUGGUAUCCUGUCUGAAUAUGGGGGGACCAUCCUCCAAGGCUAAAUACUCCUGACUGACCGAUAGUGAACCAGUACCGUGAGGGAAAGGCGAAAAGAACCCCGGCGAGGGGAGUGAAAAAGAACCUGAAACCGUGUACGUACAAGCAGUGGGAGCCUCUUAAUGGGGUGACUGCGUACCUUUUGUAUAAUGGGUCAGCGACUUAUAUUCUGUAGCAAGGUUAACCGAAUAGGGGAGCCGAAGGGAAACCGAGUCUUAACUGGGCGUUAAGUUGCAGGGUAUAGACCCGAAACCCGGUGAUCUAGCCAUGGGCAGGUUGAAGGUUGGGUAACACUAACUGGAGGACCGAACCGACUAAUGUUGAAAAAUUAGCGGAUGACUUGUGGCUGGGGGUGAAAGGCCAAUCAAACCGGGAGAUAGCUGGUUCUCCCCGAAAGCUAUUUAGGUAGCGCCUCGUGAAUUCAUCUCCGGGGGUAGAGCACUGUUUCGGCAAGGGGGUCAUCCCGACUUACCAACCCGAUGCAAACUGCGAAUACCGGAGAAUGUUAUCACGGGAGACACACGGCGGGUGCUAACGUCCGUCGUGAAGAGGGAAACAACCCAGACCGCCAGCUAAGGUCCCAAAGUCAUGGUUAAGUGGGAAACGAUGUGGGAAGGCCCAGACAGCCAGGAUGUUGGCUUAGAAGCAGCCAUCAUUUAAAGAAAGCGUAAUAGCUCACUGGUCGAGUCGGCCUGCGCGGAAGAUGUAACGGGGCUAAACCAUGCACCGAAGCUGCGGCAGCGACACUAUGUGUUGUUGGGUAGGGGAGCGUUCUGUAAGCCUGUGAAGGUGUACUGUGAGGUAUGCUGGAGGUAUCAGAAGUGCGAAUGCUGACAUAAGUAACGAUAAAGCGGGUGAAAAGCCCGCUCGCCGGAAGACCAAGGGUUCCUGUCCAACGUUAAUCGGGGCAGGGUGAGUCGACCCCUAAGGCGAGGCCGAAAGGCGUAGUCGAUGGGAAACAGGUUAAUAUUCCUGUACUUGGUGUUACUGCGAAGGGGGGACGGAGAAGGCUAUGUUGGCCGGGCGACGGUUGUCCCGGUUUAAGCGUGUAGGCUGGUUUUCCAGGCAAAUCCGGAAAAUCAAGGCUGAGGCGUGAUGACGAGGCACUACGGUGCUGAAGCAACAAAUGCCCUGCUUCCAGGAAAAGCCUCUAAGCAUCAGGUAACAUCAAAUCGUACCCCAAACCGACACAGGUGGUCAGGUAGAGAAUACCAAGGCGCUUGAGAGAACUCGGGUGAAGGAACUAGGCAAAAUGGUGCCGUAACUUCGGGAGAAGGCACGCUGAUAUGUAGGUGAAGUCCCUCGCGGAUGGAGCUGAAAUCAGUCGAAGAUACCAGCUGGCUGCAACUGUUUAUUAAAAACACAGCACUGUGCAAACACGAAAGUGGACGUAUACGGUGUGACGCCUGCCCGGUGCCGGAAGGUUAAUUGAUGGGGUUAGCGGUAACGCGAAGCUCUUGAUCGAAGCCCCGGUAAACGGCGGCCGUAACUAUAACGGUCCUAAGGUAGCGAAAUUCCUUGUCGGGUAAGUUCCGACCUGCACGAAUGGCGUAAUGAUGGCCAGGCUGUCUCCACCCGAGACUCAGUGAAAUUGAACUCGCUGUGAAGAUGCAGUGUACCCGCGGCAAGACGGAAAGACCCCGUGAACCUUUACUAUAGCUUGACACUGAACAUUGAGCCUUGAUGUGUAGGAUAGGUGGGAGGCUUUGAAGUGUGGACGCCAGUCUGCAUGGAGCCGGCCUUGAAAUACCACCCUUUAAUGUUUGAUGUUCUAACGUUGGCCCCUGACCGGGGUUGCGGACAGUGUCUGGUGGGUAGUUUGACUGGGGCGGUCUCCUCCUAAAGAGUAACGGAGGAGCACGAAGGUUGGCUAAUCCUGGUCGGACAUCAGGAGGUUAGUGCAAUGGCAUAAGCCAGCUUGACUGCGAGCGUGACGGCGCGAGCAGGUGCGAAAGCAGGUCAUAGUGAUCCGGUGGUUCUGAAUGGAAGGGCCAUCGCUCAACGGAUAAAAGGUACUCCGGGGAUAACAGGCUGAUACCGCCCAAGAGUUCAUAUCGACGGCGGUGUUUGGCACCUCGAUGUCGGCUCAUCACAUCCUGGGGCUGAAGUAGGUCCCAAGGGUAUGGCUGUUCGCCAUUUAAAGUGGUACGCGAGCUGGGUUUAGAACGUCGUGAGACAGUUCGGUCCCUAUCUGCCGUGGGCGCUGGAGAACUGAGGGGGGCUGCUCCUAGUACGAGAGGACCGGAGUGGACGCAUCACUGGUGUUCGGGUUGUCAUGCCAAUGGCACUGCCCGGUAGCUAAAUGCGGAAGAGAUAAGUGCUGAAAGCAUCUAAGCACGAAACUUGCCCCGAGAUGAGUUCUCCCUGACUCCUUGAGAGUCCUGAAGGAACGUUGAAGACGACGACGUUGAUAGGCCGGGUGUGUAAGCGCAGCGAUGCGUUGAGCUAACCGGUACUAAUGAACCGUGAGGCUUAACCUU
rnacentral:rRNA from 7 species